rnacentral:tRNA from 1 species
GUGUAGCUUAAUUAAAGCAUCUCGCUUACACCGAAAAUAUAUCUGUUAAACCCAGAUCAUCUUGAA